GGAGGGGGUUAGCGUUGUUCGGAAUUACUGGGCGUAAAGCGCGCGUAGGCGGAUUAGAAAGUUGGGGGUGAAAUCCCGGGGCUCAACCUCGGAACUGCCUCCAAAACUGCUAGUCUAGAGUUCGAGAGAGGUGAGUGGAAUUCCGAGUGUAGAGGUGAAAUUCGUAGAUAUUCGGAGGAACACCAGUGGCGAAGGCGGCUCACUGGCUCGAUACUGACGCUGAGGUGCGAAAGUGUGGGGAGCAAACAGGAUUAGAUACCCUGGUAGUCCACACCGUAAACGAUGAAUGCCAGUCGUCGGGUAGUAUACUAUUCGGUGACACACCUAACGGAUUAAGCAUUCCGCCUGGGGAGUACCGUCGCAAGAUUAAAAUCAAAGGAAUUGACGGGGGCCCGCACAAGCCGUGG
rnacentral:rRNA from 1 species